rnacentral:rRNA from 1 species
UACGGUAGGGUGCAAGCGUUUGUCCGGAAUUAUUGGGCGUAAAGAGCUCGUAGGCGGUCUGUCGCGUCUGCUGUGAAAAUCAGGGCUCAACCCUGGACCUGCAGUGGGUACGGGCAGACUAGAGUUCGGCAGGGGAGACUGGAAUUCCUGGUGUAGCGGUGGAAUGCGCAGAUAUCAGGAGGAACACCGAGUGGCGAAGGCAGGUCUCUGGGCCACU